rnacentral:rRNA from 1 species
UACGGAGGGUGCGAGCGUUGUCCGGAAUCACUGGGCGUAAAGGGCGCGUAGGCGGCGCGGGCAGUCAACGGUGAAAGCUUGGGGCUCAACCCCGAGUCGGCCGUCGAUACUCCCGGGCUGGAGCACUGUAGAGGCAGGUGGAAUUCCGGGUGUAGCGGUGAAAUGCGUAGAUAUCCGGAGGAACACCGGUGGCGAAGGCGGCUUCCUGGACCGACACUGACGCUGAGGCGCGAAAGCUAGGGGAGCAAACGGG